rnacentral:misc_RNA from 1 species
AAUAAGAGACAGGUGAAUCAUCGAAUCUUUGAACGCACAUUGCGCCCUUUGGUAUUCCACAGGGCACACCCGUUCGAGCGUCAUUACAACACUCAGGCCACGCCUGGUAAUUGGGUGCCGCCCCGUCAAACGGGCGCUCCUCAAACCCCUCGGCGUCGCCGUCCGUCCUCAAACGCAGCGAGAAACACCUUUCGGCGUUGUAGAGGCGGGCCGUGACCGCCGGAACCACACAAAUUCAAACGUUUGACCUCGGAUCGGGUGGGGAUACCCGCUGAACUUAAGCAUAUCAAUAAGCGGAGG